rnacentral:rRNA from 1 species
UGGCUCAGGAUGAACGCUGGCGGCGUGCUUAACACAUGCAAGUCGAACGAUGAAGCCCAGCUUGCUGGGUGGAUUAGUGGCGAACGGGUGAGUAACACGUGAGUAACCUGCCCUUAACUCUGGGAUAAGCCUGGGAAACUAGGUCUAAUACCGGAUAGGAGCGCCUACCGCAUGGUGGGUGUUGGAAAGAUUUAUCGGUUUUGGAUGGACUCGCGGCCUAUCAGCUUGUUGGUGAGGUAAUGGCUCACCAAGGCGACGACGGGUAGCCGGCCUGAGAGGGUGACCGGCCACACUGGGACUGAGACACGGCCCAGACUCCUACGGGAGGCAGCAGUGGGGAAUAUUGCACAAUGGGCGCAAGCCUGAUGCAGCGACGCCGCGUGAGGGAUGACGGCCUUCGGGUUGUAAACCUCUUUCAGUAGGGAAGAAGCGAAAGUGACGGUACCUGCAGAAGAAGCACCGGCUAACUACGUG